GGAGAGAGAGAAGCCAGAUAGAAUUCUGUAAAGAUAGAACAUUCAAGACUAUCAAAUUCAUGGCCUAAUUACUACCUUUUCCCCAGGACCAGAAAUUUCCAUCUUCUUCGGUACUCCAUGGAUAAAAUUUUAAAGCAGACUUUUGCUGAAGCCAGUAAUGAGAUCAGGAUUUCCAAUACUCCAUAUAGACAUUAUAAUUAAAAGAUUUAUUGCAGGGAAGAAUGCACAACAUAUUCAUAAAUUGUGUUUCUUCUUACAUGUCUAUUUCCAAAGCUAACUAUUCAUUUAGCUAAGAGCAGUGGGCCUGCUCACUAGAAAAUUAAAAGUAUAAGCUAUUCAUGUCUGAUUUUCUGAGUCUUGCAUUUCACAAUGGGCAACCAAGUCUGAUUUCAUGAUCUAAACAAAGGAAUUUAAUUUUAAAAGUAUAUCUAAGCAUUGAGAAGAGAUAUGCUAAUGUAAACCCAGUGAUUUGCUCUUUUUUCCUUCCUUGUAGUAGUCGUUAAAUAUUUAUAUGGUGGAUAGACUACAUUUCCAAGUGGACCAAGGGACACUCCAAAUGGCCCAUGAAUCCCAAACCAAUGAUAGCUGUAUUUGACCUGAAAGACUAUCUACUUUCCAAUCUACUGGGUGAAGGGUCUAGAUUCUAAGAUCUUAGACUCAGGAUGAUGGGCUCCUUGAACAAUGCUUAUUUUGGUUCCUGGUUAAGAAACAAGUUGGGAUACCUGAUCAGGUUGCCCGGGGAAAGCAAGUAGUAAGUCCUUGGGUCUUGGAUAAUGGAUCAGUUGUUCUGAGCUAUACAUAUUCAGAUAAGUUCACAUAAGUGCCAAGGUUAAAGAACUAAUAGAGAUGGGUAGUAUUAUACCCUCAAAGUCUUCUCGGGGAGACCAACCAAAAGUUCUGGACGACCGUUGUGAAGCAUUUCCAAGGUUGACAUUGGUGGAGCAUAUGGCAUGGUCACUCAAAUUCCUGAUACAAGGGGAUGGGUAUCUGUCUGCAUUUCUUUACCUCAAGCCUCUGGGUUUACUGCUUCUGACCUGGCACCUUGAGCCAUUUUCUCUUUGACUAAGCUAGUCAAAGAGGAUGCAUUGAUCACCUGUAGUUGGCAGAGCUCUGGGAAAAGCAGGUACUAAGCAAAUGGUUCAGGCAGUGUCUUUUCACCAAGCUGACAAAUUCCUAGGAGGAGGUCUCAGCAUCAAAACUAAGUGGGGACCUGAAGUUUCAUUACAGACUGUUAAAUCUCAGAAUUAUGGUAGGUGCUCUUGGUGGCCAUUAAAUUCAACAGCCUAUCCCAGGAAAUAAUUCCCUCUAUAAUAUUAUUGAGAAAUAGUUAAACAUGUGUAGUUGUAUUGAACCCAGU
rnacentral:lncRNA from 1 species